ensembl:rRNA 5S_rRNA 5S ribosomal RNA
AUCUAUGGCCAUGCUUCCAUAAACAAGCCUGAUCCCGUCUGAUCUCAGAAGCUAAGCAGGGUUGGGCCUGGUUAGUACUUGGAUGGGAGACCACCUAGGAAGCCAGCUCUGAAAAGAACAUUGGUGCUGUAGGUG